rnacentral:rRNA from 1 species
GCGGCAGGCCUAACACAUGCAAGUCGAGCGCGAAAGCACUUCGGUGUGAGUAGAGCGGCGGACGGGUGAGUAAUGCUUGGGAAUCUGCCCAGUAGUGGGGGAUAACGUGUGGAAACGCACGCUAAUACCGCAUACGUCCUACGGGAGAAAGCAGGGGAUCUUCGGACCUUGCGCUAUUGGAUGAGCCCAAGUCGGAUUAGCUAGUUGGUGGGGUAAAGGCCUACCAAGGCGACGAUCCGUAGCUGGUCUGAGAGGAUGAUCAGCCACACUGGGACUGAGACACGGCCCAGACUCCUACGGGAGGCAGCAGUGGGGAAUAUUGCACAAUGGGCGAAAGCCUGAUGCAGCCAUGCCGCGUGUGUGAAGAAGGCUCUAGGGUUGUAAAGCACUUUCAGUAGGGAGGAAAAGUUUAAGAUUAAUACUCUUGAACCUUGACGUUACCUACAGAAGAAGCACCGGCAAACUCCGUGCCAGCAGCCGCGGUAAUACGGAGGGUGCGAGCGUUAAUCGGAAUUACUGGGCGUAAAGCGCGCGUAGGUGGUUUGAUAAGCUAGCUGUGAAAGCCCCGGGCUUAACCUGGGAACUGCAGUUAGAACUGUCUGGCUAGAGUACAGUAGAGGGUGGCGGAAUUUCCUGUGUAGCGGUGAAAUGCGUAGAUAUAGGAAGGAACAUCAGUGGCGAAGGCGGCCACCUGGACUGAUACUGACACUGA